rnacentral:rRNA from 1 species
UACAGAGGGGGCAAGCGUUGUUCGGAAUUACUGGGCGUAAAGGGCGCGUAGGCGGCCUGCUAAGUCGAACGUGAAAUCCCUGGGCUCAACCCAGGAACUGCGUCCGAUACUGGUUGGCUUGAAUCCGGGAGAGGGACGUGGAAUUCCAGGUGUAGCGGUGGAAUGCGUAGAGAUCCGGAGGAAGACCGGUGGCGAAGGCGGUCUGCUGGGCAGUUUCUGACACUGAUGCGCGACAGCGUGGGGAGCAAACAGG